rnacentral:rRNA from 1 species
AAGAAGCACCGGCUAACUACGUGCCAGCAGCCGCGGUAAUACGUAGGGGGCGAGCGUUAAUCGGAAUUACUGGGCGUAAAGCGUGCGCAGGCGGCUUUUUAAGCCAGAUGUGAAAUCCCCGGGCUUAACCUGGGAACUGCAUUUGUGACUGGAAGGCUAGAGUGUAGCAGAGGGGGGUAGAAUUCCACGUGUAGCGGUGAAAUGCGUAGAGAUGUGGAGGAAUACCCGUGGCGAAUGCAGCCCCCUGGGCUAACACUGACGCUCAUGCACGAAAACGUGGGGAGCAA